GCCUCUGUAGUUCAGUUGGUUAGAGUGUUGCACCAGAAUUGCAGGGCUGUAGGUUUGAUUCCUGUCAGACGGCC